CGUGUGGUUAAUCGUUGCUACACGAAGAACCUUACCUGGGUUUGACAUAUAGGUUGUAGGGAACUGAAAGGGACCGACCCUUCGGGAGCCUAUACAGGUGUUGCAUGGCUGUCGUCAGCUCGUGUCGUGAGAUGUCGGUUAAGUCCGCUAACGAGCGCAACCCUCGUCGUCAGUUACAAGUGUCUGACGAGACUGCCCGUGAUAAGCGGGAGGAAGGUGGGGAUGACGUCAAGUCAGCAUGGCCUUUAUAUCCAGGGCUACACACACGCUACAAUGGCCGGUACAAUGGGUCGCCAACCCGCGAGGGGGAGCCAAUCCAAUAAAGCCGGUCUCAGUUCGGAUUGCAGGCUGCAACCCGCCUGCAUGAAGUCGGAGUUGCUAGUAACCGCGCGUCAGCACAGUGCGGUGAAUACGUUCCCGGGCCUU
rnacentral:rRNA from 1 species